UAGAAGGAAGAAUCUGAAAUCAGGAUUAUCUGUGUUGUAUUUACAGAAACACUCUUAAAUACAAUUCAUUGCAAAAAAAUUGCCUUCAGAAGUCACCCAAUUAAUAUAGAACGCACCAAAUAGGUGGCAGCAUCAUGCUGUGGGGAUGCUUUUCUUCUAAGGAAAAUACAUGAGAAGCUACAAAAGAGCUGAAACUCCAGUUUAAAUCCAUAUAUCCACUUUCAUAAAUAUGCAUGUCAUGUUGGCCUGUCGCAUAAAAUCCAAAUUAAAUGCAAGAAAGUUUGUGGUUUUAAUGUGAUGAAUUGUGAAUAAAUUCAAGGGGAAUGAACAGUUUUACACGCUACUGAAUGCUGAUGGUUCUCAUACAAGUGAGGAGGCAGGGGUAUGAAGUGCAAAGGUCAACUCCAAGGCUCCUAGUCACUCACUGACCGAGCACUUUACAAGAUACUCUGCGCAGACAAAGGAAAGAUUUGUUCCAAGAUUUGUAAAGGCAACAUUGCCGCUAACAGAGUGAACUAUUUGCUAAGCAUGUCUUCUGGUAAACAGUUACCAGCUGCCACAUAUCCACUUCUAUCCACUUCUCCCCACUUUGAUAGACUUCGCUGGUGAUUUGAUGAAGUUUGUCUGCGGCUGAAUCAACAAGCAAAGCUUAUUCUUGUUGACUAACCCUGUCUGACCGCGACGCGUAAGCUGCCAUAUCCCUGCCUACCUUCCUUUUGUUUGUCACCGAGUUUGUUUUAUUGUCUUAAGAAACGUUUAUAUUUUUAACAUUUUGAGGUUAUUUGUAUGCUUAGAACUUGGGGGAAAAACAAAAUGGUUAUGAAGACUGUCCUUCCAUGGAAUAUGUAAUGGAGAAUGGUACAAAUUAAUAACCACUUUGUUAUUAAAACUGAUUUCUGAAAACUAAAA